GCCAGGCACAGUGGUGCAUGCUGGUAGGCCCAGCUCCUUGAGAGGCUGAGGUAGAAGGAUAGCCUGAGUCUGGGAGUUCAAGGGCAGCCUGGGCAACAAAGUGAGAUACCAUCUCAA
rnacentral:sRNA from 1 species